GUGAAAAGCACUUCGAACAGAAGAGUGAAAUAGUCCCUGAACCCAUACGCCUACAAGCAGUCGGAGCCGCUUCGUGCGGUGACGGCGUGCCUUUUGCAUAAUGAGCCUACGAGUUACUCAUCACCAGCGAGGUUAAGUACUUCAGGUACGUAAGCCGAAGCGAAAGCGAGUCUGAAUAGGGCGUCAAGUUGGUGGUGGUAGACGCGAAACCUUAGUGAUCUACCCAUGGGCAGGGUGAAGGUUUGGUAACACAAACUGGAGGCCCGAACCGGUAAACGUUGAAAAGUUUUCGGAUGACCUGUGGGUAGGGGUGAAAGGCCAAUCAAACUGGGAAAUAGCUCGUACUCUCCGAAAUGCAUUUAGGUGCAGCCUCUGUUGUUUUGUUCUAGAGGUAGAGCUACUGAUUGGAUGCGAGGGCUUCACCGCCUAUCAAAUCCGGCCAAACUCCGAAUGCUAGAACAUGAAGACAGGGAGUGAGCCAGCGGGUGCUAAGGUCCGUUGACGAAAGAGGGAGAACUCAGACCAUCAGCUAAGGUCCCCAAUUGUAUGCUAAGUUGGAAUUAAAACGGGGUGGGACUGCUUAGACAGCUAGGAUGUUGGCUUGGAAGCAGCCAUUCAUUUAAAGAGUGCGUAACAGCUCACUAGUCGAGCGGUCCUGCAUGGAUAAUACGCGGGCAUAAGCAUAUAACCGAAGCUAUGGGAUUGUAGAUGAUACAAUCGGUAGGAGAGCAUUCCAUUCAGCAUAGAAGCAGUAUCGUGAGGUAUUGUGGAGCGGAUGGAAAAGCAAAUGUAGGCAUAAGUAACGAUAAUGCGGGUGAGAACCCCGCACGCCGAAAGAUCAAGGAUUCCCCGGCAAUGUCAAUCAUCCGGGGGUAAGUCGGAUCCUAAGGGUAAGCCGAGUGGCGAUCCCGAUGGCAAACAGGUUAAUAUUCCUGUACUGAUCAUAACUGCGAUGCAGCGACGCAGAGGUGACACUGCUGCGUACUGACGGAAUAGUACGUUGAAACCCGUAUUCUUUGAUACCGGUAGUGAAGCACGCCGGUAGAGAUGAAAGGUGAUAGUACCGCAAUGCUUCGGUUGCGCGGAUAACGCAGGUAAGCUGACUGCCAAGAAAACCUGCUAAGCUUCAGGUAAUGAUCAUCCGUACUGUAAACGGACACACGUGAUCAGGUAGAAAAUACUAAGGCGCUCGAGAGAUUCAUGGUUAAGGAACUAGGCAAAAUGGUCCUGUAACUUCGGGAUAAAGGACGCUCUUGUGAAAGAGCCGCAGAUAAUAGGCCCAGGCGACUGUUUACCAAAAACACAUGGCUAUGCUAAUUCGCAAGAAGAUGUAUAUGGCCUGACACCUGCCCGGUGCCGGAAGGUUAAGAGGAGAGCUCAGAUGUAAGUCGAAGGUUUGAAUUGAAGCCCCGGUAAACGGCGGCCGUAACUAUAACGGUCCUAAGGUAGCGAAAUUCCUUGUCGGGUAAGUUCCGACCUGCACGAAUGGUGUAACGAUCUGGGUACUGUCUCAACCAUGAGCUCGGUGAAAUUGUAGUUCCGGUGAAGAUGCCGGAUACCCGCAACGGGACGGAAAGACCCCGUGAACCUUUACUGCAGCUUUGCAUUGAUUUUGGGUAACAGAUGUGUAGGAUAGGUCGGAGGCUUUGAUGCUGCGUCGUCAGGCGUAGAGUAGCCGUCGUUGAAAUACGACCCUUUUGUUAUCUGAGGUCUAAU
rnacentral:rRNA from 1 species